rnacentral:rRNA from 1 species
ACUCAAAUGAAUUGACGGGGGCCCGCACAAGCGGCGGAGCAUGUGGCUUAAUUCGACGCAACGCGAAGAACCUUACCAAGGCUUGACAUACACCGGAAAAUCCUGGAGACAGGGUCGCCCUUUGUGGCUGGUGUACAGGUGGUGCAUGGCUGUCGUCAGCUCGUGUCGUGAGAUGUUGGGUUAAGUCCCGCAACGAGCGCAACCCUUGUCUCGUGUUGCCAGCAGGCCCUUUGUGGUGCUGGGGACUCACGGGAGACUGCCGGGGUCAACUCGGAGGAAGGUGGGGACGACGUCAAGUCAUCAUGCCCCUUAUGUCUUGGGCUGCACACGUGCUACAAUGGCCGGUACAAUGAGUGGCGAUGCCGUGAGGUGGAGCGAAUCUCAAAAAGCCGGUCUCAGUUCGGAUUGGGGUCUGCAACUCGACCCCAUGAAGUCGGAGUCGCUAGUAAUCGCAGAUCAGCAGUGCUGCGGUGAAUACGUUCCCGGGCCUUGUACACACCGCCCGU